GAUGAAGAACGUAGUGAAAUGCGAUAAGUAGUGUGAAUUGCAGAAUUCAGUGAAUCAUCGAAUCUUUGAACGCACAUUGCGCCCCUUGGUAUUCCAUGGGGCAUGCCUGUUCGAGCGUCAUUUGUACCCUCAAGCUUUGCUUGGUGUUGGGUGUUUGUCCCGCGUUGCGCGUGGACUCGCCUUAAAGCGAUUGGCAGCCGGCAUAUUGGCCUUGGAGCGCAGCACAUUUUGCGCUUCUAGUCAUGAAUGUUGGCGUCCAUUAAGCCUAUACAUUUGCUCUUGACCUCGGAUCAGGUAGGGAUACCCGCUGAACUUAAGCAUAUCAAUAAGCGGAGGA
rnacentral:misc_RNA from 1 species